AACGUAGGUUCCGAGCGUUAUCCGGAUUUACUGGGCGUAAAGCGCGUUCAGGCGGUUUGGCAAGUCGGGCAUGGAAUCUCUCGGCUCAACCGGGAGAGGUUGUCCGAUACUGCUGGACUUGAGGGCAGUAGAGGGUGGUGGAAUUCCGGGUGUAGUGGUGAAAUGCGUAGAUAUCAUGAGGAAUACCAGAGGCGAAGGCGGCUACCUGGACAAUUGCUGACGCUCAGGCACGAAAGCGUGGGGAGCAAAAGGG
rnacentral:rRNA from 1 species